rnacentral:lncRNA from 1 species
UCUUGUCAAGAUGCAGUUACUUGCCAAAUCCCUAAUUUUUGCCUAGAUUGCCCCAGUGUGAGGUGCUCAAUCUAGCGGGAUGCGAAUUCUUUUUCAAUGUCUCUAACUUUUGCCUGGAUCGCCCUUUCGGGUUUUCAAUCCACCGAGACGCUCCUUUUUGCCUAAGUUGCCCUUUGGGGUGUUCGACUUAGCGAGCUUUU